GGGUCGUAUUACAGGUAGCCAGCUGGUGAAAAUGAGAGGGCUUUACAUAAUUUCCUGGCUAAACAGAUUUGGAGAGCAAGGGUGACUCCGAGAAUUGUUUUUUUUGCUUGGGAAGCCUGUAGAGAAAGUAUAUUCACUGUUGAUAAGCUUAGGAAAAAGGGUAAGAUCAUUGUUAAUUGUUGUUAUCUCUGUUUUGAGUGCGGAAGAGUCUUGUAAUCACUUCUUUGGUGUCCUGGGACAUACGGGCUUUGGGAUAUGAUCUAUGGACAUACGUUCAUUGGGUGAUCUCCGGGACUAUUUGUGGGGAAUUAUGAGCUUGGAAAGGGACAUGUGUCAAUGGAAAAGUUGCUAAUUUGAUUCAUUUGACUAUUUUUUGGAUUAUUUGAAAAGAGAAGAAUUCUAGAGCCUUUGAAGGCAAAACAUUAUACUUGUAUAAAUUAGGAGAUAUAUAGAUUUAUUAUCUCGGAACUAGUAUGUUAGGUCAUGAUAUUAUUAGUGAUAAGGAUUUUGGAAAUGUUGUUGAAACUCUAACCACAUUAUAAGGUUGUACAUGGGCGGUACCCCCUUUUUUGAUACGUCGUUAAUACAUACCUUACACUUUUAUCUAAAAAAAAAUAUAUAUAUUUAAUGUAAAUUGGAUUAAAGAGUAUACGGGUAAAAUACAUUUAUAUAAUUAAUUAAUUAUUUUUUCUUAAUUCUAGAAACCUGUAUAUAUAGUACUGUAAUGUUAAGUGAAAUAUACCAUCAAUCGUUCUUCCCAAUAUGAUUUAAUUAAUGUUAGAAAAAUGAAUCAUCUACGGUCUCUGAUUGAAUGUUAGAGUGCAUAUAUUCAUCACGUUGAAGUAAGAUACUAAUAUAAUUCCCUAUCUUCAAAUGGAAAGAAAAACUUACAAAUUUUUGAAUUCUAGUAAUUUUUAGUAAAACCUGUAAACAUCGAUAGAAAUCUUGUUACGUAAAUUUUCUUUGUGUUUGAUUCUGAUACGAAACUGCAAUAAGCCUUACUUUUUAACUCAAACAAAAAAAAGAAAUGCAAUGAGUCUUAAGUAGGAAGAGUCUUACCUUUUAUAUCUAUGGGUACUUUUUAUUGUUUAUAGUUGCAUCAUUUAAACGUGAGUUUAUGUUUAUCUAAUAUAAUCUUUCUAGGACUACGAUUAAUAAUGAUGAAUGUAUGAAAAAAUUGGUUAGUUGAUCUGCCUAUCAUCUUGUACAUUUGCCAAGAGGAAGGGAUUUUAAUUCAUGGAUUAUUAUAAUCAUUUUUUUAUGUUAUGAUUUUCAGAUUUUUAUUUCCCAAAAAAAAAAUCAUUUUCUUAAGAAAUUGUAAAUUUUGUAAUAGGAAAAUGAAUUUCACAAAUUUUUUUUGCUUUUCGACCUUUUUAUAUUUAGAACGCAAAUGAAAAUGAAAAUUGUUCGGUCACCAAAAAAAAUUUGCUCUUCUACUUUUUAAGUUUGGAAUGUGAAUUUAAAUUUGGACUUAUUAAUGAAUUCUUUACUUUGUUUUGUCUUUUUGAGACUUAAUUUGUUCCAAAGAUUAAGUCUUAAUGCAUUUUUUGCUGCUUGUUGAGGUAGAUAGACUUGAUUAAACUUACAUCUCUUCUAAUGUAGGUAACCAAGAGUUAUGGUGCUUUAAGAAGAUAAAUUUCGACAGGGAUUGGUGCCUAUUAGGGCAAUCUUCUAGUCUCAGUUUUGGUCAUAUGCCGAGGAAAUACUGUCAUGAAGGCCAACUGGUCAGCAACUACCCAGCAAGAAAAGAGGCACAAGGUCUAUCAGAAAAAUAAAACAGUUGAAAAGUGUUUGUUUUACUAACGACAGUUACAAUAAGUUAGUGAUUGAUGAUAAACUGUAGUUUAAUUGUCCUGUUGGGUAAAUGGUCUCUGCUUGAGUGAAUUUGGUAUUAUAUCUAAAACGUGGGAUUGUAUUUGUUAUAUAUAAAGUAGCUCCAGUGUUUGUAUUAUUGCCUACCCAUUUAAAAUUAAGGUCUGGCUCAGUCCUUUUUGCUCCCUUUCAAACCUUUUUGAAUGUCAUCAUUUUAGUUAUUGGAUUACCAAGAAUGUCUUCGUAAUUUUUUUUGGACUAAAUUACUAAUAUAGUUCUUAAAUUAUGAAUUAUAUCAUAAUUGAGUUUUUUUUUUUGGGUUAUAAUUUAAUCUUUGAAUUUGUUGUCAAAACGUAAUUUUGUUGUUAUUGCUAGUUUUCUUUU
rnacentral:lncRNA from 1 species